UGCAGAGGGCUUUCUGGAAGGCCUCUGAAGGUGAAACAGAAGCCUGGGGUGCCUUGCGCGUCAAUCCAGAGCCCGUUUUUCAGCUGCAGAGGGAUUUCCAGAAGGCUCUGCUGGCGAAACGGAGCCUGGGGGGCAACACACGUGAGUGGUGGCAACUGGCCGCAGAAGAAUUGGGCCGGCUGCAAGCUCCUGCUGGGCAAGGCUGUUGGUGCUGCCACCACGAGGUAAGAAUGAUCCACUCAACCUCGAUUGCUGAGACUUUCCAGAAUAAUCAGGAAGACAACAAAGGUGCUUCCUGGGAUUAAUACAUGUAGUCUUUAUCAGCCAGACAUAUGUUGUGUUUCUGAUAUACCCUGCAAAGAGAGAACAAGAGGGAAAGUCCCUGAAGAUGAUCCUUAUCCAUUUACUGGAUUUACGUAGGUAUAUGUGGCAUUAAAGCAACAAAUUCCAUUUCAAAUCUAUAAAUAUUCUCAUUUCAAAUCCAAACUUCCAUGAUAUCAUAAAUGCAGAUAUACACAAAAAUACUCCAAAUCUCGAUCAGAGCCUUUAUGCAUGUUACUAAUAAGUUCUAGACGCUUAAGUAUGACUUGGAUGCUUGCAAAUAGUAAUAUUUCCAGUUAUAUUAAAAGCUCAUAUCCAUACGUAUCUGCUUUCCUGGUUUCCUUCAAAGAAACACAUGGAAGGUAGAACUAAAAAAAGCAGAUGUCAACCCAUUUACAUUCUUCUACAGGAACUAUUGAGUCUGUCAUCUGCAUCUCUAUAACUGUCUGGUUUGGUUCUGCAACCCAACGAGACAGACACAGACUUCAGAGGCUAAUUAAAACUGCAGAAAAAACCAUUACUACCAACCUGCCUUCCUUUGAGGACCUGUAUACUGCACAAGUCAAAAAAAGGGCCGUGAAAAUAUUUACAGACCCCUCACAUCCUGGACUCCUAUCCUCAAAACGACGCUAUAGAGCACUGCACACCAAGACAAAUAGAUAAAAGAACAUGUUUUUCCCAAACGCCAUCACUCUGCUAAACAAAUUAUUCCCUCAGCAUUGUCAAACUACUCACAUUAGGCUGCAUUACUAUUGUUAUUGAUUUUCUCAUCAUUCCGGUCACCCAUCUCCUCCCACUUGUGACUGCAAGACUGUAACUUUGUUUCUUGUAUCCUUACAAUUUAUACUGAUUGUUUCCUAGUAUGAUUUGAUUGCUUAUUGUACCAUAUGACUGUCACUGGGUGUUGUGCUUUGUGAUUCUCGAUGACUGUAUCUUGUCUUCUUAUGUACACUGAGAGCAUAUGCACCACAGACAAAUUCCUUGUGUGUCCAAUCACACUUGGCCAAUAAAGAAUUCUAUUCUA